rnacentral:rRNA from 1 species
UACAGAGGUCCCAAGCGUUGUUCGGAUUCACUGGGCGUAAAGGGUGCGUAGGCGGUCGGGUAAGUCUGAUGUGAAAUCUCACAGCUUAACUGUGAAACUGCAUUGGAUACUAUCCGGCUAGAGGAAUGGAGGGGAGACUGGAAUACUUGGUGUAGCAGUGAAAUGUGUAGAUAUUGGGAAGAACACCGGUGGCGAAGGCGGCGCUCUGGACCGAGACUGACGCUGAGGCGCGAAAGCGUGGGGAGCAAACAGG